GACGAACGCUGGCGGCGUGCUUAACACAUGCAAGUCGUACGGUAAGGCCCUUUCGGGGGUACACGAGUGGCGAACGGGUGAGUAACACGUGAGUAACCUGCCCACAACUUUGGGAUAACGCUAGGAAACUGGUGCUAAUACUGGAUAUGUGCUCCUGCCGCAUGGUGGGGGUUGGAAAGCUCCGGCGGUUGUGGGUGGACUCGCGGCCUAUCAGCUUGUUGGUGGGGUAGUGGCCUACCAAGGCGGCGUCGGGUAGCCGGCCUGCGAGGGUGACCGGCCACAUUGGGGCUGAGGUACGGCCCAGGCUCCUACGGGGGGCAGCAGUGGGGAAUAUUGCACAAUGGGCGCGAGCCUGAUGCAGCAACGCCGCGGGCGGGAUGACGGCCUUCGGGUUGUAAACCGCUUUCAGCAGGGACGGAGCUUUUUGUGACGGUACCUGCAGAAGAAGCACCGGCUAACUACGUG
rnacentral:rRNA from 1 species